rnacentral:rRNA from 1 species
CCUACGGGGUGCUGCAGUGGGGAAUAUUGGACAAUGGGCGAAAGCCUGAUCCAGCCAUGCCGCGUGUGUGAAGAAGGCCUUCGGGUUGUAAAGCACUUUCAGUGGGGAAGAAAGCCUUGGGGCUAAUACCCUCGAGGAAGGACAUCACCCACAGAAGAAGCACCGGCUAACUCCGUGCCAGCAGCCGCGGUAAUACGGAGGGUGCGAGCGUUAAUCGGAAUUACUGGGCGUAAGGCGCGCGUAGGCGGUCUGAUAAGCCGGUUGUGAAAGCCCCGGGCUCAACCUGGGAACGGCAUCCGGAACUGUCAGGCUAGAGUGCAGGAGAGGAAGGUAGAAUUCCCGGUGUAGCGGUGAAAUGCGUAGAGAUCGGGAGGAAUACCAGUGGCGAAGGCGGCCUUCUGGACUGACACUGACGCUGAGGUGCGAAAGCGUGGGUAGCAAACAGGAUUAGAUACCCUAGUAGUC